UGCGGUCUAGCUUCCUGAGGGGCUUGGCAUCCUUUGAUGUGUCUGUACCACUGGGCCUGGGAUGAGUAGGAUGUUUCCUUCCUUCCUUCUUCCUACCUUUUGUAUGUAAAAGGCAAAAGGAACCGGAAAUCUCCCUUGUCUGAGAGGUGUUUCUUUGUUAACGUGUCAAACAGGAUCUAGUGACAGGUCUCAGCACCACCGUAAUUCCAAAGCUGUGAUGAGCUAAAACAAUAAUUUAGAAUAUCUGCAACAAGCUCACUGUGAUGUGAAAAGUACCCAAGAGCUGUCCUGGCUCAUAGUCGUCUACAUUCAUAAUAUCAGGAAACACUGAAUUUUGGCGGAAGAUCCUGCCAGCCACUAGAGUGAGGCCAACUCUGAAGUCCCAAGUCCAGUUCCUGUCUAUACCCUCCCCACACUGAGGCCUCAGCCAGGAGGAUCUGAAGCCCAAGGCAGAUGGUGGAGCAGAGCACAAAAGUUCUCCAGGCCUAAGCCCACCUUGUGCACCAGGGAAGACUGGGAGGAGGGGACGGGGGGAGGGAGUGCUUGCCUCCCUCUUUAUGGGUCUAUUCCUUGUGGAUAGUCUCUACCCCCACUUCAGGGAC